rnacentral:rRNA from 1 species
AACCGCUAGCUGGUAAACGAGUGGAGCCACGAAGUCGUUUCGUAGAAUAAAGAAUACAAAUUCAGUUGAGGUUGUCGCAAGACGGCUUUAAUGCACUUUUGUUUAUUCUUCUAUGUAAGCGUACACUGCAACCAAUUAGACUAUUAAUUGUGGAAUCAAUUAGCCAAUAUAAGGAGCAAUCUUUAUGUUAGUUAAUGAAAUGUUUAUAUAUUUUUCUAUAGGUAGCUCGACUUGGYCCUUGUGGCCUCUUUGGGUGUAUGAUAGAUAAUAUGAGAGCUACAAUUAAAUACUGAUUGGCACAACGAAAAUCCAUUUGCAAAAAUGGUCCCUAGAUAAUGCUACUCAUAUUGUAUGUGUGUACAAGUGUUUAUUGUUAGCGUUAAGCUUAGUAGUUUUAAAUUUAGACUAUCUGGCUGGUAUUAAUUUCGGUUGGUGCCGCCUGUAUAGCUUUCUAUCUAAUUGGCUAUUAACUUUGUUAGCAAUUUUAUACUUGACAUGUUUGCAUGAAUGCAAUAAUGAGCAAGUAUCAUAUUGGCAGUGAGUAGGUCGGCUUUCCACACGACCC